GUACUCGAUCCAGUAGAUUGCCGUGUCCAGGGGGGUCAUCGGUCGAUCCCGGAAAAGCACCGACAACCGUCUCACAUUUUCCCGGAAGCUGCGGAAAAGCAAAGAAAACGACGAUUGAGAAACGGCACUCCUAACGGUUCAUGCUGGCUUAACUUCGUUGUAUGGUACCCUUCUCCCCAUUCGAGAUUUCUGGAUCCGCCCAUGUUGUUUUGUAAUAGAAAACCUACCUUGGAUUGUUCAA